CUUUCUCUUGAUAUGCAGGUGCUGUCUAACUGUUAAGGUGAGUUCUUUAUUGAUGAUUACUACUUUUAGCUGUAUUGAUUUCAUGAAUCUUUACUCCAUGCCUGUAGAAGUAGCUGUAGUAUGGAAAAUUCUUUCCAUUUGUUUAAUUUGUACUUCAAUUUCAUUAUUCUAACUAAAACUUGUUUUGCUAAAUGCAUUAAGUUAUAUGCAAAUGCGACUUUUCACAAUCAAUUCCUACAACUUGAAUUUAUUCUGCAUGAUGAAUGGAAAUUAUAAACGAAUCUUUUAUGUUUUAAAAUGAUUUUUCCCCCUGUUCCUUUGGUGGGGCAUGAGAUUAUGAGAAAUCAGCUAAUGUCUAUUGCCAUUUGACAUUACUACC
rnacentral:misc_RNA from 1 species